rnacentral:rRNA from 1 species
AGAUGCGAUCAUACUAGACUAACACAUUAGAUCGCAUUAGAACUCCAAAGUUAAGCGUGUUUGUGCAAGAGUAGUACUAGGAUGGCUGACCCCCUAGGAGGAAGGUUGUGUUUAAUAUA